AUCAACUAGUGGGUAUGUGUGAAGUGUUUCUGUGCUUUCCAUAUUAAUGACAUGAUUUUUAGUGAUUGGAAUAGUUUUUGGUCAUUUUAUUAAAAUAUAUGGUUUUAUGAACAUUUCUUGGAUAAUAUGGACAACGUAUCAGUAUCAAAGGGCGUCUUUGUACACAAAGGUGCUUAUAAGAUCGGGAAUAAACAAACAAAAUUUGAACCACCAGAUUAUUUAAAUGCAUCGUGGUAUCUUACUUAUAAAGAAACAUGGGAAAGCAUUCAAAAUGCUAUAGAGGCUAUAAGGUCCAAUAUGUUUCAACAAGUUUUGGAUGACUUACAAUCUUUUGUUUCCAAGAUUAAAGAUAAACCAAUAGAGCAAUUUCAGAAUGAGAUACAGACAGCUAUUCUAUUAACUGGAGUUAAUGUUUCUGAUCAUAAGAUAAUGUUUCAAAGAGUAGUUUCUAAGCUAAAACCAAUAACAAAUCAUAUUGCUGUUAUAUGGGGUAGAGACUCGAAUAAUAUAAAGAAUCUCACAGAAGAAUCAAUUUAUCAGUUGAUGAAUAAUGAAAAGGAUGAUGAAGAUGUACAAAUUAAGAAAACCCACUGUCAUAUGAGGAAUCUAAAAUUAUGGCAUCAAGAAAAUUGUGAUCGAAAUGAUCCUUUGGUUAUAAUGAUAACUGAUUUUGAAAGUUCUUCUCCUGCAGUACUGCAUGAUUUUAUUUUAAUAUUGAGUUCAUAUGUCAAUUCAAUGAAAUUUAUUCUUAUUUUUGGUGUUGCAACUACUUUACAUGCUAUCCAUAGAUCUUUAACAUACGAUGUUACAUCAAAAUUGAAUGUUCAAGUAUUCCAUAUGCAAAAACAAAUUAAUAUUUUGUCAGACGUGUUAGAAAAGACUGUUUUUUGUACAAAUAUCCCAUUUAAAUUGACUGGACGCGCGUUUCAAUUUUUAACGGAUAUCUUUUUGUUUCAUGAUUUUUCGGUAGAGAAUUUUUUACAAAGUUAUAAGAUAUGCAUGAUACAACAUUUUUAUGCAAACAAUAUAAAUUCUCUCUGUUGUCAACCGCAGAAGAUAAAAAGCAGGAUUUCUUCUUUAACAGAUGAGGAUUGGGUGGAAAUUAAAAAAUUGCCUUCUAUAGAAAAAUAUAUUAGACAACUUACGAAUGACAAAAACAAAGAUGAAUUUCUUAAUGAUAACAGGUUUAAGGAAACGUUGACGCAGCUCUUAAAUAAUUUUCACCAAUAUAUGCACCGAUUUUUGUUAAUACUCAAGUGCCUGCACGAUCUCAUGUCGACAUUACCAAAUGCACCAAUGGGCAAACAGCUACGUGAAUAUUACACAAAAGCAGUUUAUAUGAGUGAUUUGAGAGAAUCUCAAGAGUACAAAGAAUGCCUGCAAUUGCUAAGUUUUCUAUCCAAGAAGGAAUUUCUUGAAAAAUUGAACUCUUUUACAACAAUUAUGGAAAGUUCGAAGGACUCAAUUAUGAAGAAAGUUAAAGCAGAUCUACAGGACCGUAUAAAAACAAUUGAGGAAGCUAGUUUAGAAGUAGCUUCGAUACCUGUCGAUAUCGUUUCUACCGGUGAAAAACUCAGUCGACUUCAAUUGAAAGAGAAAUUAUUGAAAAUGUCCCAAACGCAAUCUCGAUCGCCCUAUAAGAUAGCUCAACAGGAUUUGAUCGAUUAUUUAGAUCAAAAAGUGUUUUCUGUGUACCUUAUCAAUCCUCAUUACAUACCUGGUAACGAGAUAUUUUGCUUCAAUGAUGGUAAUUUAGCGAAACAACAUGUUCGUGGAUCUUUGAGAGCAGCGAUACACACAGGAUUAAACGAUCCACAUGUGUACUUAAAUUGCGAGUGCUGCAAAUUGGAGAACGACGACGCCAUCCCAUCCACGCUGCCUGACCUCAGUAUAAUUUACAAGUUGCACUUAGAAUCCAGGAAGCUGAUCAAUAUGUACGACUGGUUGCAGAACUUUGUGGACAUCUACAAAUCUCGUAUGCAGAACGCCUGUCGACGAUGUCUCGUUCAGCCGGAAUUGAUGUUUCUCUCAGCAGAGUUUCCUGGCGGAAACUGAUUCGCCACGGCACACCGGCCAAUAUGCCCAUCGUUUUUCCAGACAAGCAUCCUCAGCUUUCGACAGGCUUCCGCUAUCGAAUCGACCAGCUGGCUUCUCUCUUUAGUUUAGUUCCACGAUAUUUUCAACGUAAUCUCUUUCCCUCUUGGAAAAAGGAUAAAGCCUAGAGACGAACGGUGACUCCGAAGAUACGACCGGGUAUGCUUCGGGUGUGAUGCGAGAUUGAUACGAAGAAGCUGUUGAGAUUGAUUUCCGCGUCGCAGAACGAAUGAUGGCAGAGUAAGCCCGCAAUCCCUGUGGGCUCCUACUAACUUACUCGGGACUGUCUUAGAGUGGUACACCUCCACUCCCGGUUCUUUCCAUCCGGGAUGGAAAUAAGUCUGAAAAUGAAAGGAGAAUACCGUCUCCCGUGGGAAAUGUAACCUGCUUGUUCCUCGUUUUAUGAAUCUUCGAGACAGGUCUUCUUCUUCUGUAGCAUUGGCCGCGAAAUGGCUACGGAAUACGAAUCGAGGAAAUAGAGUUCGAAUUUCUGUGUCUAUCAACCUUUGGAUGGAAUAUAGUGGAAGAUGGGUCAAUUUUCAUAUAAUACAUGCAAAUGUUUCACACAUUUGUUAUUAUCAAGCUGCGGAUUUUUACGUAUUUAAUAUGAAAUUCGAGAAUGUAGCAUUUCAUAAAAUGCAUGUGAUAUGAAGAGAUGUAUAAAAUAUAUGAAGUAUAGUGUUCCUAUAAUAUCUGUUAGUAUUUCAGGCAAUGGACAAAAGUCCAACCACUGAAGCCUAUGAAUGAUAACUUUUUAUAUUACAAAAUACAAAGAAGUGGGCGUAGAUUUUAAUACUACUCAUAAUUUUUAUUAAAUUUGCCAAUUUGUCGUCAGAAAUAAUGUUAAAAUUUUACUGCAAUUUACGGCACAUUUUUAUAAACGUCUUCAUUCAUCGAUUUUAUAUGCUUAAUUUGAUUUUUGUAAGUUAUGGUUAGCAUCGUGCUUUCAUACUGACAAGUAAUUUUUUUUUACAAAAUUGACAUCCUAAUUUUUUAUGGUUAAAUGUCCAUCAACUUUGAACUGAGUUUUAAGAAAGGUACCGAAAAGUACCUCCGUGAGUUUUCGUACAUUAAUUAAAGAUGCAUUAAACAUCAUAAUAGUAUUAAAUUUAGUUGCCCAAACUUGAGGAAAUAGUCAAAAUCGUUAUCAAUAUCUCCAUCACAUCGCGAUGUAUGUUUGGCGUAGUCUUUAUAUUUAUAUCUUUACAUUAUAUCUGACUAGUUGUUGCUAAUGAUAGAUGAUAAUGGCAACAACAGUUAAACUCUUUAUCCAUUAUCUACACGGUAAUACAAAUAGAAAUUUCAUUUGCAAUUGGGCUACUGAAGUUGUGUGAGUAAACCAUUGGAAAAUAUCAUGUUUUCUUGUUGGUGGAUAGCUAGACAAAUUACCCGCAAACACGAUUCUAACAUAAUAAGAAUUUAUAUCUCUAUAACGACGCUUUUCCUUUCCACGAAAAUGUGACAAUCUCAUUUUCCAAUUUACGAUAAUAAAAUACAAUAUUUACUCGUUGUAUGCGACUAAAUAGACAUUGCGCAUUCAUAGAUUCAGAGCGUCGACAGAAAUCGAUAAUGUUAGUGUAUUUAAGCGCAAGCAUCGCGUGAAACAUCAGCCAUCGCAAGAACAUAAACACUACAAGCUGAAAUUACGUGUCGUCGGCAAACAUCUAUCGAAGAACGUUGGAAAAAGCCUAACAUCUGACGAGCACUCCACGUUUCGAAGUAGCACUAAAUAUGUAAUUAUGUUAAGAAAGACGUUCCUGCGUCUUUCAUGCAAGAUAACAAGAAACAUACGAGAGCGUAAUAAAUUACUUUGUAAUUGUUUUUUACAAAUGAACUUUUUAGAAGGAGGAAAGAAUAAAUUCAAGAAAAAGUGAAGUUAUAAAAUUAAAGUUGAAUUUGUGAAA